rnacentral:ribozyme from 1 species
AAUUAUGGUAUAGUUGAUAAAGAAAUGAGAGCGGGUUGGAGUAAAAAUAAUAAAUUAUUACAACCCUUACAUUUUGUUAAUUUAUUAAGUGAGAUUAAAACUGGACCAAAAUGUGUUGUAUUAACUUUAGUUGACGUGUUUGACUUCCAUGGUUCCAUUUUACCGCAUUUAAAAGAUAUUAUUGGUACAAAUCCGCUUCAUAUUGCUGUGAAUAAGGUUGAUUUGUUGCCUCUUGACUACAGUGUCGAUCGAGUGAAGCAAUGGGUUCUCCAAGAAGCAAAGCAGC